rnacentral:siRNA from 1 species
UUUAAUUUCUCGUAGUGCUAAUGU